rnacentral:rRNA from 1 species
GACGAACGCUGGCGGCGUGCUUAACACAUGCAAGUCGAGCGGUAAGGCCCUUUCGGGGGUACACGAGCGGCGAACGGGUGAGUAACACGUGGGUGACCUGCCCUCAGCUCUGGGAUAAGCCUGGGAAACUGGGUCUAAUGCCGGAUAUGACUCCAUGACGCAUGUUGUGGGGUGGAAAGCCUUGUGCGGCUGAGGAUGGGCCCGCGGCCUAUCAGCUUGUUGGGGGGUGAUGGCCUACCAAGGCGACGACGGGUAGCCGGCCUGAGAGGGCGACCGGCCACACUGGGACUGAGACACGGCCCAGACUCCUACGGGAGGCAGCAGUCGAGUAAUUUUUCUCAAUGGGGGAAACCCUGAAGGAGCGACGCCGCGUGGAGGAUGAAGGCUUUCGGGUUGUAAACCUCUUCAGCUCCGACGAAGCGUAAGUGACGGUAGGAGCAGAAGAAGCACCGG